GAGUUCGCGGGAGAGUAGGUUAUUGCCAGGGUUUUUAUUUUUAUACUUUAAACUUUGAUUUUAUUUUUAUGUUUUUUAAAUAUUGGUGUUUUUGAAUGUGUUGUUUAAAUAACAUAAAAAAUAAAAUAUAUAUUGACAUGUAUUAAACAAAGAUAUAUAUUAUUUUAUGUUGUAUAAAUAAAUUGGCAAAAUAGAGAUGGAAGAUAAAAAUAUGGUCAAAGUAAUAAGAGUCUAUGGUGAAUGCC
rnacentral:misc_RNA from 2 species